rnacentral:tRNA from 1 species
GGAUGGUUUGGCACAUUGGAAAGUCCGCUCGACUCGAAAUCGAGUAAGCCCUGAAAGGGGCUUUGUCAGUUCGACUCUGACACCAUCCG